rnacentral:misc_RNA from 1 species
AAGAAGAGGCAAAAGAGACCAAAGUAGCAAUUUUCGGUAAAGAAUUACUCACGGUGCAUACGAUGGAUGCUUCCGCCGCAGCGCGGCCACCUUUGGCUACCCACUUGCAACCAUCACAUUCUCAGGUAUAUAUAACUGCCGACAAUCUCCGCACGUUCUCCGACUCCCUCACGGCUUUCCAACAAUGCUUGAAUGAUCUGCAACGACACAUGAAUUCAAU